GACGAACGCUGGCGGCGUGCUUAACACAUGCAAGUCGAGCGGUAAGGCCCUUUCGGGGGUACACGAGCGGCGAACGGGUGAGUAACACGUGGGUGACCUGCCCUCAGCUCUGGGAUAAGCCUGGGAAACUGGGUCUAAUACUGGAUAUGACUCCACGGUGCAUGUCGUGGGGUGGAAAGCCUUGUGCGGCUGAGGAUGGGCCCGCGGCCUAUCAGCUUGUUGGUGGGGUGAGGCCUACCAAGGCGACGACGGGUAGCCGGCCUGAGAGGGCGACCGGCCACACUGGGACUGAGACACGGCCCAGACUCCUACGGGAGGCAGCAGUGGGGAAUCUUGCGCAAUGGGCGAAAGCCUGACGCAGCGACGCCGCGUGAGGGAUGACGG
rnacentral:rRNA from 1 species